GAUGAUCAAGGAAAGGGUAUGAGGUUUAAUUCUAUUAUUAAACCUAUUGUAUGCAAGGUGAGGUAAGUUUUGGAAAAGGAGGUAAAAGAAGAAUCACUUUUAUUAAGUUGUUGGCCCUGGAGGGGAAAUGUUACCUCCCCUACUAGUUCCCAUAUUUAAGGAGCACCAGAGACCACCAGGGUCCUUCUGGGCCGGCUUAUGCCUUAUUCCAAAAUUACUCUCUUGGGGCCUCGGCCCCAUCUCACCAGCACAUCAUCUAUAAACACAUGACUACUAA
rnacentral:lncRNA from 1 species